rnacentral:rRNA from 1 species
CUGGAGGUACUAGUAAUCGCAGAUCAGAAUGCUGCGGUGAAUGCGUUCCCGGGUCUUGUACACACCGACCGUCACACCACGGAAGUUGGAGACGCCCGAAGCCGAUUAUCUAACCUUUUGGAAGAAGUCGGCGAAGGUGGAAUCAAUAACUGGGGUGAAGUCGUAACAAGGUAGCCGUAUCGGAAGGUGCGGCUGGAUCACCUCCUUUCUAAGGAGA